rnacentral:rRNA from 1 species
GGGGAAUAUUGCACAAUGGGGGAAACCCUGAUGCAGCGACGCCGCGUGAGUGAAGAAGUAUUUCGGUAUGUAAAGCUCUAUCAGCAGGGAAGAAAAUGACGGUACCUGACUAAGAAGCCCCGGCUAACUACGUGCCAGCAGCCGCGGUAAUACGUAGGGGGCAAGCGUUAUCCGGAUUUACUGGGUGUAAAGGGAGCGUAGGUGGUGCGGUAAGUCAGAUGUGAAAACCCGGGGCUCAACUCCGGGACUGCAUUUGAAACUAUCGAACUAGAGUGCAGGAGAGGUAAGUGGAAUUCCUAGUGUAGCGGUGAAAUGCGUAGAUAUUAGGAGGAACACCAGUGGCGAAGGCGGCUUACUGGACUGUAACUGACACUGAGGCUCGAAAGCGUGGGGAGCAAAC